rnacentral:rRNA from 1 species
UACGUAGGUGGCAAGCGUUAUCCGGAAUUACUGGGCGUAAAGGGCGCGUAGGCGGGAUGGCAAGUCGGUCGGGAAAUCCCUCGGCUCAACCGAGGAACGUCGAUCGAUACUGCUGUUCUUGAGGAUUGCAGAGGAGACUGGAAUUCCCGGUGUAGCGGUGAAAUGUGUAGAGAUCGGGAGGAACACCGGUGGCGAAGGCGGGUCUCUGGGCAAUUCCUGACGCUGAGGCGCGAAAGCGUGGGGAGCAAACGGG